rnacentral:rRNA from 1 species
AUACGGAGGAUCCGAGCGUUAUCCGGAUUUAUUGGGUUUAAAGGGUGCGCAGGCGGCCAUUUAAGUCAGCGGUUAAAUCGUGGGGCUCAACCCCAUUCUGCCGUUGAUACUGGGUGGCUUGAUUGCGGUCGAGGCUGGCGGAAUUUGUUGUGGAGCGGUGGAAUGCAUAGAUAUGACGAAGAACACCGAUUGCGUAGGCAGCUGACCAGACCGCAAAUGACGCUCAUGCACGAAAGUGCGGGGAUCGAACAGGAUUAGAUACCCUGGUAGUCCGCACAGUAAACGAUGAAUACUUGUUUUCGGCGAUAUAAUGUCGGAGGCAAAGCGAAAGCGAUAAGUAUUCCACCUGGGGAGUACGCCGGCAACGGUGAAACUCAAAGGAAUUGACGGGG